UACGUAGGGUGCAAGCGUUGUCCGGAAUUAUUGGGCGUAAAGAGCUUGUAGGCGGUUUGUCGCGUCUGCUGUGAAAUUUCGGGGCUCAACCCCGAACUUGCAGUGGGUACGGGCAGACUAGAGUGUGGUAGGGGAGACUGGAAUUCCUGGUGUAGCGGUGAAAUGCGCAGAUAUCAGGAGGAACACCGAUGGCGAAGGCAGGUCUCUGGGCCAUAACUGACGCUGAGGAGCGAAAGCAUGGGA
rnacentral:rRNA from 1 species